rnacentral:rRNA from 1 species
GACGAACGCUGGCGGCGUGCUUAACACAUGCAAGUCGAACGGAAAGGCCCCUUUGGGGGUACUCGAGUGGCGAACGGGUGAGUAACACGUGAGUAACCUGCCCUUGACUUCGGGAUAACUUCAGGAAACUGGGGCUAAUACCGGCUAGGAAUCCUUGCUGCAUGGUGGGGGUUGGAAAGCUUCGGCGGUUUUGGAUGGACUCGCGGCUUAUCAGCUUGUUGGUGGGGUAGUGGCUUACCAAGGCUUUGACGGGUAGCCGGCCUGAGAGGGCGACCGGCCACAGUGGGACUGGGAUACGGCCCAGACUCCUACGGGAGGCAGCAGUGGGGAAUAUUGCACAAUGGGCGGAAGCCUGAUGCAGCAACGCCGCGUGCGGGAUGACGGCCUUCGGGUUGUAAACCGCUUUCAGCAGGGGCGAAGCUUGUGGUGACGGUACCUGCAGAAGAAGCACCGGCUAACUACGUG